UUUUAUCGUCGUAAAACACACUUCAUUCAAAGUCAACAGAAACAAAAUUAAACUAUCAAAACCCAUUUUGGUUAGUCUUUACACUUUUCCCAACAAUCCCAACUCUGGGUUGGUUAAAAGAA